rnacentral:rRNA from 1 species
UACGGGAGGCAGCAGUGGGGAAUAUUGCACAAUGGGCGCAAGCCUGAUGCAGCCAUGCCGCGUGUAUGAAGAAGGCCUUCGGGUUGUAAAGUACUUUCAGUCGUGAGGAAGGUGUUAAGGUUAAUAACCUUAGCAAUUGACGUUAGCGACAGAAGAAGCACCGGCUAACUCCGUGCCAGCAGCCGCGGUAAUACGGAGGGUGCGAGCGUUAAUCGGAAUUACUGGGCGUAAAGGGCACGCAGGCGGUUAAUUAAGUUGGAUGUGAAAUCCCCGGGCUUAACCUGGGAAUGGCAUUCAAGACUGGUUAGCUAGAGUCUUGUAGAGGGGGUAGAAUUCCAUGUGUAGCGGUGAAAUGCGUAGAGAUGUGGAGGAAUACCGGUGGCGAAGGCGGCCCCUGGGACAAAGACUGACGCUCAUGUGCGAAAGCGUGGGGAGCAAACAGGAUUAGAUACC